rnacentral:rRNA from 1 species
CCUACGGGAGGCAGCAGUGGGGAAUAUUGCACAAUGGGGGAAACCCUGGUGCAGCAACGCCGCGUGAGUGAAGAAGUCAUUCGUGAUGUAAAGCUCUAUCAGCAGGGAAGAAAAUGACGGUACCUGAAGAAGAAGCCCCGGCUAACUACGUGCCAGCAGCCGCGGUAAUACGUAGGGGGCAAGCGUUAUCCGGAUUUACUGGGUGUAAAGGGGGCGCAGACGGCGAUGCAAGCCAGGAGUGAAAGCCCGGGGCCCAACCCCGGGACUGCUCUUGGAACUGCGUGGCUGGAGUGCAGGUGGGGCAG